CGCGGGCGGGAACCGGGGCUGCGCGUGGUGCUUGCAGGCCAGUGCGAGUACCAGGUGGGCGUGGGCUCGGCAGGCCCCACACUUGGAGCGGCCUGCCGGCCCCGCCGGCCCCCGGCAGUGAGGGGCUUAGCACCUGGGCCAGCAGCUGCUGUGCUCAAUUUCUCGCGGGGCCUUAGCUGCCUUCCCACGGGGCAGCGCUCGGGACCUGCAGCCCGCCAUGCCUGAGCCUCCCCGCUCCUCCGUGGGCUCCUGCCUCCCCCACGAGCGCUGCCCCCGGCUCCACGGCACCCAGUCCCAUCGAUCACCCAAGGGCUGAGGAGUGCUGGCGUGCACUGCUCGGGACUGGCAGGCAGCUCUACCUGCAGCCUCCGUGCGGGAUCCACCUGGUGAAGCCAGCUGGGUGCUCCUGAGUCUGGUGGGGACUUGGAGAACCUUUACGUCUAGCUAAGGGAUUGUAAAUACACCAAUCGGCACUCUGUAUCUAGCUCAAGGUUUGUAAACACACCAAUCAGCACCCUGUUUCUAGCUCAGGGUUUGUGAAUGCACCAAUCCACACUCUGUAUCUAGCUACUCUGGUGGGGCCUUGGAGAACCUUUAUGUCUAGCUCAGGGAUUGUAAAUACACCAAUCGGCACUCUGUAUCUAGCUCAAGGUUUGUAAACACACCAAUCAGCACCCUGUUUCUAGCUUAGGGUUUGUGAAUGCACCAAUGGACACUCUGUAUCUAGCUACUCUGGUGGGGAGGUGGAGAACCUUUGUGUCUAGCUCAGGGAUUGUAAACGCACCAAUCAGUGCCCUGUCAAAACAGACCACUGGGUUCUACCAAUCAGCAGGAUGUGGGUGGGGCCAGAUAAGAGAAUAAAAGCAGGCUGCCCCAGCCAGCAGUGGCAACUCGCUGGGGUCCCCUUCCACCCUUUGAAAACUUUGUUCUUUGGUUCUUUGCAAUAAAUGUUGCUGCUGCUCACUCUUCGGGUCUGCACUGGCUUUAUGAGCUGUAACACUCACUGCGAAGGUCUGCAGCUUCACUCCUGGAGCCAGUGAGACCCCGAGCCCACCGGGAGGACCGAAGAACUUCAGAUGCGCCGCGUUAAGAGCUGUAACACUCACCGCGAAGGUCUGCAGCUUCACUCCUGAGCCAGCGAGACCACGAACCCACCAGAAGGAAGAAACUCGGAACACAUCCGAAUAUCAGUAGGAACAAACUCCGGACACGCCGCUUUUAAGAACUGUAACACUCACCUCGAGGGUCCGCGGCUUCAUUCUUGAAGUCAGGGAGACCAAGAACCCCCCAAUUCCGGACACAGGGGGACUUGGCUGCUUCCUGUUUCUAUCAUAGACGCAGCUGGCCUCAGAAUAUUCCACUUAUGGAUGAAAGAAUGAUAGUGUUAUUUUAUGGAAGAAUUUAAGAAGAUGUUGCGGUAUCAUCGACUUUAUUUUUUGUUCAUUCUGAAAAUCACAUCGCCAGAUCCAACACCUUUUUAUCCCAAUCACCAGUACAAGCCACCCGUAUCAGUGUACACUGUGGCUGACCGAUCCAUAGUGAUGCUUUGAGGUAGUCGUACAGUGUCCAGAAGGCAAAAGGACAAGUAUGCACUGCCCUACUUACCUACUUUCCACACUGCUGCACAGGAAAAUCUGACAGAGGACAAUAACAAACAUCUCACCAGCUCAUGCGUUCUUUUUUGAUCCUAAUUCCGAGAGACUCACCAAAGACAUGAAGAGAAAACAAACAAUACUUUUCUUGGAAAUAUUGUAAUUGCUGGUACAUUUGUUGUUCUGGCAUAAAGUAGAAAUUGUCAGUUACCAGAACAAUACUCAGUGAACUUAUGAAUAUAUGGUAAAUAUUAAACACAUCCCACUUGGAUGAGAAGAUAUGUGAGUCGAUGAGUAUAGCUAAGUCUAAAGUUAGAUGUGUUCCAUAAACAUAGUGUUUAUGGAGUUGGUGCAUAUUCACUUCUCAAUUGAAGCCACAAAAUCCACAGCACACAAAGACCCUGCUACCAUGUAUUCACUUCAG
rnacentral:lncRNA from 10 species